GACGAACGCUGGCGGCAUGCCUAACACAUGCAAGUCGAGCGAGCAGAUCCCUUCGGGGUGAAGCUAACGGCGGACGGGUGAGUAACACGUGGGCAACCUACCUCAUAGAGGGGAAUAGCCUUCCGAAAGGAAGAUUAAUACCGCAUAAGAUUGUAGCUUCGCAUGAAGCAGCAAUUAAAGGAGCAAUCCGCUAUGAGAUGGGCCCGCGGCGCAUUAGCUAGUUGGUGAGGUAACGGCUCACCAAGGCGACGAUGCGUAGCCGACCUGAGAGGGUGAUCGGCCACAUUGGGACUGGGAAACGGCCCAGACUCCUACGGGAGGCAGCAGUGGGGAAUAUUGCACAAUGGGGGAAACCCUGAUGCAGCAAUGCCGCGUGAGUGAUGACGGCCUUCGGGUUGUAAAGCUCUGUCUUCGGGGACGAUAAUGACGGUACCCGAGGAGGAAGCCACGGCUAACUACGUGCCAGCAGCCGCCGUAA
rnacentral:rRNA from 1 species